UACAGAGGGUGCAAGCGUUGCUCGGAAUCAUUGGGCGUAAAGGGCAGGUAGGUGGUCCCAUUUGUCUGAGGUGAAAGCCUUCGGCUUAACCGAAGAAGUGCCUUAGAAACGGUGGGACUAGAGUGCUAGAGAGGGUUGUGGAAUUCCCGGUGUAGCGGUGAAAUGCGUAGAGAUCAGGAAGAACAUCGGUGGCGAAGGCGCUCUGCUGGACCAUAACUGACACUCAGGGACGAAAGCUAGGGGAGCGAAUGGG
rnacentral:rRNA from 1 species